UUCUGACGUGAUGAAUUCGUAUACCGCCCCAGUCUGAGCUAAUAUGACUGAAUGGUUUGUUAAUCUGAUAAUG
rnacentral:snoRNA from 1 species